rnacentral:ncRNA from 7 species
UGGGAUAGAUGAUUGGGGUGAAGUCGUAACAAGGUAGCCGUAUCGGAAGGUGCGGCUGGAUCACCUCCUUU